UACGUAGGUGGCUAGCGUUAUCCGGAUUUACUGGGCGUAAAGAGCGCGUAGGUGGUCCUUCAAGUCGAAUGUAAAAUCUCCUGGCUCAACUGGGAGGGCGCAUUUGAUACUGUUGGACUUGAGGACAGUAGAGGAAAGCGGAAUUCCCGGUGUAGUGGUGAAAUGCGUAGAUAUCGGGAGGAACACCAGUGGCGAAGGCGGCUUUCUGGGCUGCACCUGACACUGAGGCGCGAAAGCGUGGGGAGCGAACAGG
rnacentral:rRNA from 1 species